GCUCAGUAUCGCCCGUAAGCAAAAGGCGAGACCGCAAAUUCGCCUCUUAAGCAGCUUCGAGUCGCAGAGCCUCUGGGAAACGUAGUUCACGCCAGAAAAGCAGCCAAUCGGUCAGAAUGCAAGCGAACUGAUUCUUUUCAGCUGGUCCUGACCCCCGUGACCCAACCCGCCGGGCCCGGGAGAUUUCUGGAGGUUCUAGUUCGCCCUCGGAAUGCAGAGGGGAUGACACACUUUUCAUCUUUGUCCGUCGGGUGAGUCCAGGCCUCGGUCCGCGCAGCGCUCAGGGUAAGAGUGAAGGUGGGACCUAAUCUUCUCUUUCUGGACUGUAUUGAAGAGGCGACAGAGAUGAAAUCACGAUCUUGAAGAGUGUGUGUGCGCGCGUGCGUCUCUGCACUCAGAUAUAAAAUGGAGAAAUGAUACUCUACUACCCAGUGGAGCUGCUGUGAAGACCAUCAGUUCUCAAAGUGUGGCCCCUGGCACAGCAGCAACCUGGGAACCUGUUAGAAAUUCAAAUUCUCAGCCCCCAUCAUGCCAGAUUUACUGAAUCAGGAACUCUUGAAAUGGGACCCAGCAAUAAACCCUCUAGAUGAUUCUAAUGUACACUGAAGUUUAAAAAUUUAGAUGAAAACACUGGGAAAAAAAAAAAAGUAGAGCUAAAUAAAUGCCAGGUUAUGUUGUUAUCACUGCCUUGUAUGACAAUAUGGUGUUUGUUAUGCACCAGUGGUAAAUAGUAAAAUUACAAAGUCAGGUUUUUCAUAAAAUAACUUGUGUUGGCUCUUUUAAACACAGAACACCUUAAACGUGAAAUACACAUAUGCAGUAUGUAAGCAAGGAAAGCAGAGAUAGUAUUGCUUAAAUGACAGAUAUAACUAAGGAAUACCUGAAACAGUUGAUGAAAUGUUAUCACUGAAAAUUAGGAUACUUGAGAUUUUGUUGGGCUUGGGGCAAGGAUAAAGAUGUUUAAUGGUCCCUCACAUGGUUUGGGUAUGAUAUAAGGUAGCUAUUAAUAUGUAUCCUGGCAACGUGGGCAAUGUGGGAGUAACCACAAUUUAUCUUAUAAAUCUUGACUAAUAAUGAUUCAGGUUUCCAAUAAUCUGGACACUUGUAUCUAUUAGGAUAGAGUAAGACAGAUGUACUUAUUAGGAAGUUCAGGUCAUCUGCCUCCUGACAUAUUAAAAUGACGAUUCUGGGGCUUCCCUGGUGGCGCAGUUGUUGAGAGUCCGCCUGCCGAUUCAGGGGACACGGGUUCGUGCCCCGUUCCGGGAAGAUCCCACAUGCCGCGGAGCGGCUGGGCCCGUGAGCCAUGGCCGCUAAGCCUGCGCGUCCGGAGCCUGUGCUCCGCAACGGGAAGAGGCCACAACAGUGAGAGGCCCGCGUACCGCAAAAAAAAAAAAAAAAAGAAAGAAAUAAUCAAAACCUUUACUUUUAAUGCAUAUGCUGUUCCCAUGGAAAUUUACAGGACAGGAAAAUGGUCAUUCCAAAGUCAGUUUAUCUGAAAAACACAAAUUAUAUGAAGUCUGUGUGUGUAUCCUUAUUUAAACUAAAUGUUCUUAAAAAUUCCUAAGCUCAAAUGAUGUCACAAAAGUGUUAGAAACGUGUAGACGAUAUAGUGUACACUAUAUCAUGUAAAAAUAAAAAACAGAUUUGGAUUAUGCUGUCAUUUUUAAUUUUAAUAAAAUAGAUAAUUUCAUACUACAUAGAGAGCAAGUCCAUCCACUCAUCGAUAAAAUUUUAGAAAUACUUUCUAUAAAAAGUUUAGUAGCUGAUUGCAAAUGAAUCCAUUAGAACAUGAUUUCUAUAGGUACAGUGUUCCCAUCCUCACCCCCAUUCUUGUUAAUUUUGAGAAAAUUUAAAAAUACAGAAAAGUACAAAAAAUAAGACAAGAUAUCCAUAUACCACAAUCCAGAAUUAACCAGUAUUUCAAUAUAUUUUCUUGCAGUCUUUUUUUUUUUUAAAGAGAAAUGGACGUUUAUAUAUAAAACUGAAGUCCCCUCUAACCAAUCCAAUCCCCCCCCUCUCCCACACGCAUUCCCUUCCCUUCUCCACUCUUCACAGGCAACCACUAUCAAGAGUUUGGUCUGUAUCCUUCCAAACCAUUUCAAAAACAUUUAAAAAACAUACAUACAUAUAUGUAUCCAUUACCAAUAUAUAGCACUGAAAUUUUGAGGGAAGUUUUAUUCAAAUUUACAAAACUGUCAUCAUAAUAUAUGUCAUUCUGCAACUUUAUCUUUCCCCCUCAACGUGAUUUUUGAGAUCUUUCUCUGUAAUACAUAUAGAUCUCAUUUGUUACAUUUUACAGAUAUACAGUAUUCCAUCAUAAGUACUUUCCAUUUUGUUGCUGAUGGGCAUUUAAGUUGUUUCCAAUUUAUGACUACUACGUAUCAUGCCACAGUAAAUAGCCUGGUACACAUUUCCUGAGCAUACAAACUCAGACUAGAAUUGCUAGGUGUUUUUCAAUUUGCUAUAAGGAAUGUUUCCCAACUCCCAAGGUCAUAACCAUUUUAGUAUAUAGCUUUUUCAUAUUACUAUUUUUAACCUAACCCCCCUGGAUCUUACCUUUGUGUAUAGUUCGUGUUUUUUUUUUUUUUUUUUUUU